rnacentral:rRNA from 1 species
AACGAACGCUGGCGGCGCGUCUUAAGCAUGCAAGUCGGGCGGCAAGGGGGAGCAAUCCCCCCCAGAGCGGCGGACUGGUGAGUAACGCGUGGGCGACCUGCCCCGGGGAUGGGGACAGCCGCUGGAAACAGCGGGUAAUACCGAAUACGUCCGCCCGACCACUAAAAUCCAUAAGCCGUGUCGGCGUUUUAAUGACACGCGAAGUUUAUGGAUUUUAGUGGUCGGGCGGAGAAAGGGGCUACGGCCCCGCCCCUGGAUGGGCCCGCGUCCCAUUAGCUAGUUGGAGGGGUAACGGCCCGCCAAGGCGAAGAUGGGUAGCCGGCCUGAGAGGGCGAACGGCCACACUGGGACUGAGAUACGGCCCAAACUCCUACGGGAGGCAGCAGCUAAGAAUAUUCCGCAAUGGGCGAAAGCCUGACGGAGCGACGCCGCGUGGAUGACGAAGGCCGAAAGGUUGUAAAAUCCUUUUGCGGGCGAAGAAGAAGGCCUGGAGGGAAUGCCAGGCCGGUGACGCCGGCCCGCGAAUAAGCCCCGGCUAAUUACGUGCCAGCAGCCGCGGUAACACGUAAGGGGCGAGCGUUGUUCGGAAUUAUUGGGCGUAAAGGGCGCGUAGGCGGCCUGGUAAGUCUGAUGUGAAAACCCCGGGCUCAACCCGGGAACUGCAUUGGAAACUGCGAGGCUUGAGUCACGGAGGGGAAGCCGGAAUUCCUGGUGUAGGGGUGAAAUCUGUAGAUAUCAGGAAGAACACCGAUGGCGAAGGCAGGCUUCCAGCCGAUGACUGACGCUGAGGCGCGAAAGUGCGGGGAGCAAACAGGAUUAGAUACCCUGGUAGUCCGCACUGUAAACGAUGCACACUAGGCGUCGGGGCGAGCGUUCCGGUGCCGAAGCGAACGCGGUAAGUGUGCCGCCUGGGGAGUAUGCCCGCAAGGGUGAAACUCAAAGGAAUUGACGGGGGCCCGCACAAGCGGUGGAGCAUGUGGUUUAAUUCGAUGGUACGCGAGGAACCUUACCUGGGUUUGACAUGGGGGCGAAUGCGCCAGAGAUGGCGCAGCGUAGAAAUACGCGCCCCUGCAGGUGCUGCAUGGCUGUCGUCAGCUCGUGCCGUGAGGUGUUGGGUUAAGUCCCGCAACGAGCGCAACCCCUACCGCCAGUUACCAGCAGUCAGGCUGGGGACUCUGGCGGAACUGCCGGCGGCAAGCCGGAGGAAGGCGGGGAUGACGUCAAGUCAUCAUGGCCCUUAUGUCCAGGGCUACACACGUGCUACAAUGGCCGGCACAAAGCGAUGCAAGUCCGAGAGGACAUAGCGAACCGCCGAAAGCCGGCCGUAGUCCGGAUUGAAGUCUGAAACCCGACUUCAUGAAGCUGGAAUCGCUAGUAAUCGCGCAUCAGCAUGGCGCGGUGAAUACGUUCCCGGGCC